CCUACGGGGGGCAGCAGUGGGGAAUAUUGCACAAUGGGGGAAACCCUGAUGCAGCGACGCCGCGUGAGUGAAGAAGUAUUUCGGUAUGUAAAGCCCUAUCAGCAGGGAAGAAAAUGACGGUACCUGACUAAGACGCCCCGGCUAACUACGUGCCAGGAGCCGCGGUAAUACGUAGGGGGCAAGCGUUAUCCGGAUUUACUGGGUGUAAAGGGGGGGUAGGCGGCCAGACAAGUCAGAAGUGAAAGCCCAGGGCCCAACCCUGGGAGUGCUUUUGAAACUGCCGGGCUGGAGUGCAGGAGAGGUAAGCGGAAUUCCUGGUGUAGCGGUGAAAUGCAUAGAUAUUAGGAAGAACACCAGUGGCGAAGGCAGCUUACUGGACUGUAACUGACGUUGAGGCACGAAAGCGUGGGGAGCAAACAGGAUUAGAUACCCUUGUAGUC
rnacentral:rRNA from 1 species